rnacentral:miRNA from 15 species
CAUAUGCGAUGUUUGCUCAAAA